rnacentral:pre_miRNA from 1 species
ACAUAGUACGGCCGUAGGUAUCCGUGUUCAACGUUUGACCGUCUGUCUUAUUUAAAAAGUUUAUGAAAAAAUUAAAAAAAAUAGUCACACAUAAACUACUAUUCAUGUUUUAUCAUCUAAACACAAUAAAAAUACUAAUCAUAAAAGUUUUUCAAAUAAGACGGACGGUUAAACGUUGAACAUAAACAGUAUGCAAAACUACAUUUAUU